CGAGCUGUAAGUUUGCUCCAUUUGUUCCCAUCGCUUUCUGUGUUCUGGUGCUUCUUGGUGUUCGUUGGCGGAUUCUUCGCCCACAUUUCCGCCCUGUCUGACGGAGUGGCGUUUUGCAUUUGCUGACAGCUCGCAUCCCGGGUGACAGCCUCUCAAAUCGCGACCGGGAAAUUAGUGUCAAAAGGACACGUCAAGCCAUCUCUGUGAUGAACGUUCGCUGUUGAUGAUGAUGUUGUUCAUUUCGAGGGGCUCCUAAGAUUCAUUUCGUGUGAUGAGAGCGCCCCGAGGAGAAAACUUCACCGGCUGCCACUGCCUAACAUGAAUGUUUGUGGCCAUGCAAUGUGGGAGUAAGUCCCCGAAAAAGACAGACAAAUCCGCAAGCGUGGAUAGAGCGUGCAAAUCUGAUUUGAACUUCAACUUAUCUAUGAAUGACCUGACCUGGCCCGUGUUUAAAAUAAAAAUACCGGAGUCCAAAGUGUUUGGCCACAUUAUCAAAACUCAAUGGAAGACAUAAAGAAUGACACUUGUUUUAACGAGCAUUUAUUCCUUGAGAUAUACGUAUAAGCAAGAGCCUUUAAACAUGCUUGAAAGAGGAAAGAAAAAAAAAAAA